UCCCCUCACUGAGGACCUUGGUCUUGACACACUAGGUGUCACCUGGGAGGUGAGGGCACACUCUUUGACCUCCCCUCUCUGAAGACCUUGGUCCUGACACACUGGGCUUUCAUCCGGGAGGUGAGGGCACACUCUCUCACCUCCCCUCACCGAGGACCCUGGUCCUGACACACUGGGCUGUUACCUGGGAGGUGAGGGCACACUGUCUGACCUCCCCUCACUGAGGAACUUGGUCCUGACACACUUAUCUGACACCUGGGAGGUGAGGCCACACUCUCUGACCUCCCCUCACUGAAGACCUUGCUUCUGAC
rnacentral:lncRNA from 1 species